UACGAGGGGGGCGAGCGUUGUUCGGAAUUAUUGGGCGUAAAGGGCGCGUAGGCGGUCGGAUAAGUCUUGUGUGAAAUCUUCGGGCUCAACUCGAAGUCUGCACAGGAAACUAUCUGGCUUGAGUGUGGGAGAGGUGAGUGGAAUUCCUGGUGUAGCGGUGAAAUGCGUAGAUAUCGUAAGGAAGGCCAGUGGCGAAGGCGAGUCUCUGGACAGUUACUGACGCUGAGGCACGAAGGCCAGGGGAGCAAACGGG
rnacentral:rRNA from 1 species